CCUACGGGUGGCAGCAGUGAGGAAUAUUGGUCAAUGGACGAGAGUCUGAACCAGCCAAGUAGCGUGAAGGAUGACUGCCCUAUGGGUUGUAAACUUCUUGUAUAUGGGAAUAAAAUGUUCCACGUGUGGGAUUUUGUAUGUACCAUAUGAAUAAGUAUCGGCUAACUCCGUGCCAGCAGCCGCGGUAAUACGGAGGAUCCGAGCGUUAUCCGGAUUUAUUGGGUUUAAAGGGAGCGUAGGUGGAUUGUUAAGUCAGUUGUGAAAGUUUGCGGCUCAACCGUAAAAUUGCAGUUGAAACUGGCAGUCUUGAGUACAGUAGAGGUGGGCGGAAUUCGUGGUGUAGCGGUGAAAUGCUUAGAUAUCACGAAGAACUCCGAUUGCGAAGGCAGUUCACUGGACUGCAACUGACACUGAGGCUCGAAAGUGUGGGUAUCAAACAGGAUUAGAUACCCUAGUAGUC
rnacentral:rRNA from 1 species